UAUUAUUACUUCUUCGCAAAA
ensembl:piRNA 21ur-4788 ncRNA